rnacentral:rRNA from 1 species
UACAACUUUCAGCAACGGAUCUCUUGGCUCUCCCAUCGAUGAAGAACGCAGCGAAAUGCGAUAAGUAAUGUGAAUUGCAGAAUGCAGUGAAUCAUCGAAUCUUUGAACGCACCUUGCGCCCUUUGGUAUUCCGAAGGGCAUGCCUGUUUGAGUGUCAUU